rnacentral:lncRNA from 1 species
UUAUUUAUCAUUCAAAGGAAACAGUGGCUUCGCCAGAUUUGUUUGGAUGUGAGAUCUUCAAUAACUUUCUCUUGUUUUCUGAUUCUCAUGAAGACUGCUCUUUCUUUUCACACAGUUUCUCUUCCGUGAUUUCUGCUUUUGAUUAUUGAUUAACUUUUUCCUGUUUUUUUUGGUAUAUAUAAUAAUAACUCUUCUAGACUUAGGUAUUGUGAUUCAUAACCCCUCUAUGUCAUUUGGAUUUUAGGUUUGCUUUGAGGAUCUUUGUUUCAUGAGAACGGUGUAGACUGUAGAGUAAGUUGAAGAUGAAGUUUUACUUAUUUAGAUUCUUGUUAAUUGAAUUAUGUUACUAUUUUAUGCUUUUCAGUAUCAAAUUACACUUUUGAUUUGAUGAAUCAUUUGCAUGAGUUUGAAGGGCUAUAAAAUGUUUUUUUAUGUGAAAACCUUGUAAGGCCUAGGGUUAGGGUUCUUGUUAGAUCUACAUGUGAGAUAUUGAUGAAAUAUUGUAACAAAACUGUUGCAGUUGAUAUUAUCAUGAGAAAUGGUUUAAGAGAGCUCUCUUCAGUCCACUCAUGGAUAGGAAAAGGUUUUGAAUUAGCUGCUGACUCAUUCAUUCAAACAGAAUAGGAAAAGGCAUGAUGAAUAUGCUAUAUUGUGAAUGUGUGAAUGAUGCAGGAGCUAGAUUUCAUCUUUCUCUUGUCUUUGCUUGGACUGAAGGGAGCUCCCUUUUGCUGUCUUUAUUUAUUCCAUUUUCUUCUCAUUCUUUUUAUUAUAACUACUCUUUUUUCUCUUAUAUCAUCUAUGAUUUUAGCCAUACUAGUAGUUUAUUGCUUAUUGCUUAUGAUAAGUUAUAAUCUAUCUUCUCUGAAUUUGUUACUAGAGAUUAAUGAAUUUCUUGCAAAGAAUCAGUGAGUGCAUCAUGUGGAAUGUGACUCUUAGAUGUGCAUGUGCAAUCUCAGGUGAUCUGGACCUGGACCGGGUUCAUUUUUUCUUCUUCCAUCUAUUGUACUUGAAAUAGGAAUAGGAAUAUGAAUAUGUAUAUACUACUAGUAGGAGUUUAUAUAAGAUUCUUUU